GCACUGCUGGACAAAUUGGUUAAGUCGUCGCCCUUUCAAGGCGGAGAUUACGGGUUCAAAUCCCGUGCAGUGUACAA
rnacentral:tRNA from 1 species